rnacentral:rRNA from 1 species
AGGGAAACCGAGUCUUAACUGGGCGUUAAGUUGCAGGGUAUAGACCCGAAACCCGGUGAUCUAGCCAUGGGCAGGUUGAAGGUUGGGUAACACUAACUGGAGGACCGAACCGACUAAUGUUGAAAAAUUAGCGGAUGACUUGUGGCUGGGGGUGAAAGGCCAAUCAAACCGGGAGAUAGCUGGUUCUCCCCGAAAGCUAUUUAGGUAGCGCCUCGUGAACUCAUCUUCGGGGGUAGAGCACUGUUUCGGCUAGGGGGUCAUCCCGACUUACCAACCCGAUGCAAACUGCGAAUACCGAAGAAUGUUAUCACGGGAGACACACGGCGGGUGCUAACGUCCGUCGUGAAGAGGGAAACAACCCAGACCGCCAGCUAAGGUCCCAAAGUCACAGUUAAGUGGGAAACGAUGUGGGAAGGCUCAGACAGCCAGGAUGUUGGCUUAGAAGCAGCCAUCAUUUAAAGAAAGCGUAAUAGCUCACUGGUCGAGUCGGCCUGCGCGGAAGAUGUAACGGGGCUAAACUGUGCACCGAAGCUGCGGCAGCGACGCUUAUGCGUUGUUGGGUAGGGGAGCGUUCUGUAAGCCUGCGAAGGUGUCCUGUGAGGGAUGCUGGAGGUAUCAGAAGUGCGAAUGCUGACAUAAGUAACGAUAAUGCGGGUGAAAAGCCCGCUCGCCGGAAGACCAAGGGUUCCUGUCCAACGUUAAUCGGGGCAGGGUGAGUCGACCCCUAAGGCGAGGCCGAAAGGCGUAGUCGAUGGGAAACGGGUUAAUAUUCCCGUACUUGGUGUUACUGCGAAGGGGGGACGGAGAAGGCUAUGUUGGCCGGGCGACGGUUGUCCCGGUUUAAGCGUGUAGGCUGGUUUUCCAGGCAAAUCCGGAAAAUCAAGGCUGAGGCGUGAUGACGAGGCACUACGGUGCUGAAGCAACAAAUGCCCUGCUUCCAGGAAAAGCCUCUAAGCAUCAGGUAACAUCAAAUCGUACCCCAAACCGACACAGGUGGUCAGGUAGAGAAUACCAAGGCGC